rnacentral:pre_miRNA from 1 species
CAAAUACUCCCUCCGUUCGGAAUUACUUGUCGUAGAAAUGGAUGUAUCUAGACGUAUUUUAGUUCUAGAUACAUCCAUUUCUGAGACAAGUAAUUCCGAACGGAGGGAGUAGUAG